GGGACACAACACAACCGGCAGUCCAGAGAAUCAUCAGUUCUCGUCGUCGCAUCGCCCACUCAACUCGCAUCCACCAUUCCGCCCGCACCCCCCGAAUUUCUCCGCCGUCCCAGUGCCGGCGCGACGCCGCAUGCCCCGGCAGAGCGAGCGCUGCUGCCGUCGCAUAUGCCCGUCGAGCGCCGCUUCCGCCUACGCAUUCGCCCGCCGCUGCCCCCGACGCAUCUGCCUGGCUCCAAAAAAGCUCAUUUUUUGGGUCCAAAUUGGCUGAUCUGGCGGCGGUGCUGGAUCCGGUAGCGGCGAAGGCGGCUAGCGGGGAGGAGCAUGUCCUCCAUGGCGGGCGGAGAGUGCACUGACAGAUAGAUGGAGUAAUUUCGCCUUAAUCCGUGGUGCUUCCCUUUCUCGACUUAAUCUGCGGUGGUUCCAAAUCUUCCUAAGAGUAAUUGAUGCCCAACAUUCUUCGUCUCAUUUUCAUUGCUGCUUCUCUGGCCGCAGCGUUCUGCGUCUCCUCGAUGAGUAAUCAAUCCAUGUUCAGAGUUAAUUAGGAGUGCAGUAUUUUCGCUAGUUCCUCAUUGCUACAAUUACUCCUGAUUGUGGCCCAGCUUCCAAGUUUCAGUCAUUAUUUCUGGAACUUUUCUGUAAUUCGAGUACUAUGAUGAUGUUUAUCUUCUUAAGAACAAAGGAACAAGUGUGGGAGGAUGAUAUCUCUGCUGCUUGCUGUACUUCAAUAUUCUAGAUUGUUGUUUAAGUUCUUGGAGUAAAUUCAGUGUUUAAACAUUUUAUUCUUGGCCACAGCAAUAACUAUGUGAGUGUACUGUAAUCCAAGAGAUUUUCUUCAUUCUUCUUGCAGGUAAUAGAUUGUUACUGUUACUGUUAAAGACGUGGCUCUCUCGGUGCUGCAGCUUCUUCCUCGCCGUGCAGGGACGGCGGCGACGAGCUUCUACCUCGGCUACAACCACCUAGGUUCUGCCGUACAAGGAGCUCAGAUAGGCGCUGGCACAGGUAGAGAAUUUGAUAAAAAAAACAGGGCAGCAGCAGCAUUUCAGUUUGGGAAGGUUAGAAUGCUGGAAUUGAAGCAGUUGUGGAUUUCUUCAAGGCAAAAACAGAGCAUUUCCACUUAGUGAGAUGAAAAGGGUUAGUUUUCAGGUUUUGUUUCAGCAUGCUUUUGAUUGGUCACUCCUGAGCACUAAUUAUCACCUACCUGCACUACUCCCUCUCCGUAUGUAUUAGAAAUUCUAAAAAGACUUCAUGCGUGGGACAAAUGUGUGCUCGGUGCGUUAGGUCCUGCUUGUUUUAAUUUGAACAAGAAACCAACCCUGUACAUCUAGCAUAGCAGGAGAAGAGCCCAGCCAACCUUCAAUGUGCGUCUAGGGGCCCUUCCAAUUUCAUUGUUCCUCCUGUGAUUAGGCCUUCCUUUAA